UACGGGAGGCAGCAGUGGGGAAUAUUGCACAAUGGGCGCAAGCCUGAUGCAGCCAUGCCGCGUGUAUGAAGAAGGCCUUCGGGUUGUAAAGUACUUUCAGUCGUGAGGAAGGUGUUAAGGUUAAUAACCUUAGCAAUUGACGUUAGCGACAGAAGAAGCACCGGCUAACUCCGUGCCAGCAGCCGCGGUAAUACGGAGGGUGCGAGCGUUAAUCGGAAUUACUGGGCGUAAAGGGCACGCAGGCGGUUAAUUAAGUUGGAUGUGAAAUCCCCGGGCUUAACCUGGGAAUGGCAUUCAAGACUGGUUAGCUAGAGUCUUGUAGAGGGGGUAGAAUUCCGAUGUGUAGCGGUGAAAUGCGUAGAGAUGUGGAGGAAUACCGGGUGGCGAAGGCGGCCCCUGGGACAAAGGCUGACGCUCAUGUGCGAAAGCGUGGGGAGCAAACAGGGAUUAGAUACC
rnacentral:rRNA from 1 species